AGAAAAAGGGGUGAAAAGAACAAAGUUUUGUCCAUCUUUGUUCAUCAUAGCCUAAAGUUAGAGAAGAGAAAGAAGAGGAGAAAGAAGAGGAGAAAGCUCUUGAAUGUUCGGUCACUUGGGGAAGAAAAUUGAAGGAAAUCCCCAAUCAUAGUGGGCUUGGAGCUGUGAGGGAAUUCGGAGUGGCCACCCAUUCUGAAAGUUUGGUUUUCUUCUGGUGAAUUGGACAUCCUAUUAUUUACGUUGAGGUUUGGGUUUUUAAAUGUAAUAAGGCCGCUUAAUUAUUUUUGAUGGCUUUAAUAUGUAUUUACUAAGAUAGGUAUUACUUAUAUUUAACUGUUGAAAUUGGAUA